UACGAAGGGGGCUAGCGUUGUUCGGAAUUACUGGGCGUACAGCGCACGUAGGCGGAUUGUUAAGUUAGAGGUGAAAGCCCUGGGCUCGACCCAGGAAUUGCCUUUGAUACUGGCAGUCUUGAGAUCGGUAGAGGUGAGUGGAAUUCCUAGUGUAGAGGUGAAAUUCGUAGAUAUGAGGAAGAACACCAGUGGCGAAGGCGGCUCACUGGACCGAUUCUGACGCUGAGGUGCGAAAGCGUGGGGAGCAAACAGG
rnacentral:rRNA from 1 species